GAAGAUGUAACGGGGCUAAACCAUGCACCGAAGCUGCGGCAGCGACACUAUGUGUUGUUGGGUAGGGGAGCGUUCUGUAAGCCGUUGAAGGUGUGCUGUGAGGCAUGCUGGAGGUAUCAGAAGUGCGAAUGCUGACAUAAGUAACGAUAAUGCGGGUGAAAAACCCGCACGCCGGAAGACCAAGGGUUCCUGUCCAACGUUAAUCGGGGCAGGGUGAGUCGACCCCUAAGGCGAGGCAGAAAUGCGUAGUCGAUGGGAAACGGGUUAAUAUUCCCGUACUGGUGAUAAUUGCGAUGGGGGGACGGAGAAGGCUAGGCUGGCCGGGCGACGGUUGUCCCGGUUUAAGCAUGUAGGCGGAGGUUCCAGGUAAAUCCGGUACCUUAUUAACGCUGAGGUGUGAUGACGAGGCACUACGGUGCUGAAGUGAUAAAUGCCCUGCUUCCAGGAAAAGCCUCUAAGCUUCAGGUUACCAACAAUCGUACCCCAAACCGACACAGGUGGUCAGGUAGAGAAUACUCAGGCGCUUGAGAGAACUCGGGUGAAGGAACUAGGCAAAAUGGUGCCGUAACUUCGGGAGAAGGCACGCUGGCGGUAGGUAAAGUCCAUUUACUCAUGGAGCUGAAGUCAGUCGAAGAUACCAGCUGGCUGCAACUGUUUAUUAAAAACACAGCACUGUGCAAACACGAAAGUGGACGUAUACGGUGUGACGCCUGCCCGGUGCUGGA
rnacentral:rRNA from 1 species